GAGUGACCGGAGCACAGCAGUCCAGUUGAUACUUCUCAGCACUCACUGCCUGCCUCGCAAGCAACUGUGAUACCUGCCAAGUCCGACAGAGUGCUUUGUCUGGAGCGCAGGCUUGACCUGGAGCAGAAGCGGUGGCGUAAAGCAGAAAGUGAGAGAGACAGGCUUCGCGAGUCCACUUGGCCGUGUGUUUUCUAGUGGCCAAAUCAAUGUACUAGAAAAAGGAACCAUGCGAGGGAAGUCUUGGUCGCCAGCAUCGGUUCAAAAGGCGCUCCACGUAAAAGUUGC